rnacentral:lncRNA from 1 species
AAUAAAUAAAAAUUUAGAAAUUAAGAAGGCUCUAAAAGGUGAUGCCUUUAGCAUAGUUAAAAGUGCCUUGGAAGGCAUUAUCAAGAUGAUUACAUCAAAUUUCGAAACAUCUCCGCAGGCGGCGGAAGAUAAAUAGAUAAGAAGAGUAGAACCGAUAUCCUAAAAAGGAAAAUAUGAUUUGAUUCUCUCAUGUUGGACUUUGGAUGAGCAGAUUUGGGGUUCAAUUUGCGAGACAGUUGAGUUGUAACCAGAGAGCUUGAGAUCAAAGGCAUCGACUGUCUCUAAAUAUUGGAUG